CAGGCCUAACACAUGCAAGUCGAACGGCAGCACGGGAGCAAUCCUGGUGGCGAGUGGCGAACGGGUGAGUAAUACAUCGGAACGUGCCCAGUUGUGGGGGAUAGCCCGGCGAAAGCCGGAUUAAUACCGCAUACGACUCAUGAGUGAAAGCGGGGGAUCGCAAGACCUCGCGCAGUUGGAGCGGCCGAUGUCAGAUUAGCUAGUUGGUAGGGUAAAAGCCUACCAAGGCGACGAUCCUUAGCUGGUCUGAGAGGAUGAUCAGCCACACUGGGACUGAGACACGGCCCAGACUCCUACGGGAGGCAGCAGUGGGGAAUAUUGGACAAUGGGCGCAAGCCUGAUCCAGCCAUGCCGCGUGAGUGAUGAAGGCCUUAGGGUUGUAAAGCUCUUUUAUCCGGGACGAUAAUGACGGUACCGGAGGAAUAAGCCCCGGCUAACUUCGUGCCAGCAGCCGCGGUAAU
rnacentral:rRNA from 1 species